rnacentral:rRNA from 1 species
AGCUAGCUUAACCUUCGGGAGGGCGCUUACCACUUUGUGAUUCAUGACUGGGGUGAAGUCGUAACAAGGUAACCGUAGGGGAACCUGCGGUUGGAUCACCUCCUUACCUUAAAGAA